AUACGGAGGGUGCAAGCGUUAAUCGGAAUUACUGGGCGUAAAGCGUGCGUAGGUGGUUUGUUAAGUCAGAUGUGAAAGCCCCGGGCUCAACCUGGGAACUGCAUUUGAAACUGGCAUACUAGAGUAUAGGAGAGGAAAGUGGAAUUUCAGGUGUGGCGGUGAAAUGCGUAGAUAUCUGAAGGAACAUCAAUGGCGAAUGCAGCUUUCUGGACUAAUACUGACACUGAGGUACGAAAGCGUGGGUAGCAAACAGGAUUAGAAACCCCAGUAGUCC
rnacentral:rRNA from 1 species